AACGGGACUAUUUUUUCUGUCAUUUACAGUCAAAUGAAAGCCAUUCGCCAAUCUUCCAAUCUAUUGAGAAUACUCUGUCGUGUAAUAUCCAAAUGAAAUGGCAUGGUGAUGCCUGUUUGGAGGUAUGGCUUAAAGUCAUCAGCAUAAACUUUAGAGCCUUUGGAUCUGGGUUCAAAUCACUAUGACCUGGUGAGACUCCUUGUUCAAGGUAAUUUUCUUAGGCAUCAUUUUCCUGUUCUGAAUUAAGAAUAAUCACAAUGUCUUUUUGCUGGAAUGUUGUGAGACUUAAAUAUGACAAUGUACAUGAAAGCAUCGGUUGACUACAAAGCUAAAUGUAAAUAUUAACUGUUAUGCUUUCUGCUGUAUUUUAUAUAAACCCCCAAGGCAGCCAUGAAGCAGAGUGAUAUGAGAGCCAUCUGGAGACUAU
rnacentral:lncRNA from 1 species